rnacentral:rRNA from 1 species
GAUGAACGCUAGCGGCAGGCUUAAUACAUGCAAGUCGAACGGUAACAUGAGUAGCAAUACUUGAUGACGAGUGGCGCACGGGUGCGUAACGCGUAUGCAAUCUACCUUCAACUGGUGAAUAGCCCGAAGAAAUUCGGAUUAAUACACCAUAGUAUAUUAGAGUGGCAUCACUUUAAUAUUAAAACUCCGGUGGUUGAAGAUGAGCAUGCGUGACAUUAGCUAGUUGGCGAGGUAAUGGCUCACCAAGGCUACGAUGUCUAGGGGAUCUGAGAGGAUUAACCCC